rnacentral:lncRNA from 1 species
AUCAUCACCUCUCAGUCCAAUAAAUAGAGAGACCGAGUCUGGUGAAACCAGCGCUGAGACAAUGCCCUAAGGUAACCCCAGGGACAACGACGGGGAAGGAUGGAAAAGAACACCCCAAAACCUCAGCCAUGCACAAUCGCUCGAUAAUCAGGAUGCAGAGCCUGAUAUAUGGAGUGAAUACUGAACCAGUUCCCUCUAGGCUGUGUAAAACCGGGAACCUAUAUCACAAAAGUAGAUCAACACCAGAAUCUUUAAUCCUCAUCAAUAGGAAUGAAGAAAGAUCAAAAUGCAGUUUGUACUUUAUUUGUAUGCAAAUAAACUGAGGGGUGUCGACUAAAAUCUCCCAGAAGCUCUGGGAUCAUCACCUGAAUACCUGGGAAAUCCCUAUGGGGAACAUGAGCAGUAGGAGUAGGGUCCGCAACUGGUACAUCCUUCUCCUCAUCCCCUACAUCCGGUACCUCAACCUAAGCGGGACGUAUCACCGCCUCCUCUAGAUGACAAGGCUGUCUAACUGAAUGAGGUUGAG